AGAAUUUAUUAUAAUUAAUCCUAGACAUAUUUGUGUUCUUUACUCUUAUCAAUUUAUCAUUGCAUCAGAACCAGCUUAGAAAUUAAGAUUGAAAGCUCUGAUACUAUAAUAAAGUUACAUAAAUUUCUAACCCAAAACCAAUUGGCAAUAAGUACAGCGACUUAUGUCUCUUAUAUAUUACUCAAUGUCUCAUUACAUGCUUCCUAAACAUUAUAGAUCUUAAUCUUAUGACCUAAUAAUCCCUACCUUAAUCUCUAACACACAUU
rnacentral:sRNA from 1 species